rnacentral:lncRNA from 1 species
AGAAAGCGUGGUAAGUGCAACACCUGACUAUCCAUCAUUGAGUGUUGUUUGCUGAGGCUUCUAUCUCUAUCAUUUAUUUUGUGAUCCUAACAGGUUGACCUUUAUAUCUGAGAAAAGAUGUAAAAGUUGUAGUAUUGGAAAUACUGUAAAAAGACAAACCUUGGAAGAACACCCUGGUAUACACAGAUUUUGUUGUGCCUUCCAAAGAAGCUGGGGAAAAGGAGUAUCAUAUGAUGACUGUGAUGAUCUUAAUAGCACUGCUUCAGGUAGUGCUCCCAUUUGGGGGAAUGUAUGUCAACCUAUCAUUUCCUCCUAGGGUCCUGAAUAUUUUUGUGUUCUAAGUCCAUUCUCUUGGCCAGUAUCCCCAAAGUGAUUUGUCUCUCACUGAAUUCUUAUUCUGCGUCAUAUUGUGGCAUGUUAGUUUUGGCCCUAAACUCAAGGUGAUAAUUAGGUACUAUUUGUUCUAUUAGAAUGUUUUUAUGUUUGUGGUUUUUUUUUUUUUCUUUUACUAUACAGUUUAAAUUCAGUUAUUUGGCCAAAAUGGUCUUUGCAGAAAGCAGUUAGAAAAGAUUACUUGUUAAUUAGUUCUGUGUUCACAGACCAAUAUUUAGUCUCCACAAAUGGGGAAGAUGUUCCUGAAGGACUGUUUAACAGAUGAGCUAUUUAAAGGGGUCAAAGGACUUACUUAUCACCUCUAAUUUAUGUCUUCUCUGCAACCAAUCAAGAUGGAAAUUUUAACUGAUGGUGCUAUUUAUGUUUUUUGUUUACAGAAUAGGAUGUAACUUAGUGAAAAAUGUAUUCCAUGUCUUAGCAUUAUCUGUUAUUUUGUAGUUUUAAAGAAUAAGACAUUAAGAAGAAAAAUCUGUUUGGCUCACCAUUCUGAUACCAAGGAUAACUCUUGGAAAAAAUAACUCUGAAACAGAAACUUAUGAGAGGAAAAGGCACUGAAUAAUCUUUUUUUUAAAAAAAGUCUUUGAAAAGUGAAUCCAUAUAACACCUUCUUAAUCAUUAACUUGGGCAAAAGCUCUAGACGCAUUUGUACCAAUUAAUGCAAGUGAUUUUCUCUUCUUCAUUUUUAAAACAAAGUCCACCCUACAAGUUUGAAUAAUAAGAGAGUUGUAGGAGGAAUUUAUGUACUCUAUUGCCCAAAGCAAAUGGUAAUCCUUCUGCUCUUGAGCUCUAGUUUGUGUAUAUAUAAGUAAUUGUGAUCAUGUAGUAUAAUCAUAUUUAUAAUAUAGUAAUUGUUUUUACAUGGCAUUUUUAUUCCGAUUUUAAAAAUAAAUAUUCAUUAUAGAAUAUUUGAAAAUUCAACAUAUAAAAAAUGUUACUGUUACAUACUUUUUUAAUAAGCUUGAAGAUAUUAUUUUAAUAAAGUUACCCAA